rnacentral:misc_RNA from 1 species
GAUGAAGAACGUAGCGAAAUGCGAUACGUAAUGUGAAUUGCAGAAUUCAGUGAAUCAUCGAGUCUUUGAACGCACAUUGCGCCCCCUGGUAUUCCGGGGGGCAUGCCUGUCCGAGCGUCAUUGCUGCCCUCAAGCACGGCUUGUGUGUUGGGCCUCCGUCCUCCUCCCGGGGGACGGGCCCGAAAGGCAGCGGCGGCACCGCGUCCGGUCCUCGAGCGUAUGGGGCUUCGUCACCCGCUCUUGUAGGCCCGGCCGGCGCUUGCCGACACAUCAAUCUUUUUUCCAGGUUGACCUCGGAUCAGGUAGGGAUACCCGCUGAACUUAAGCAAAUCAAUAAGCGGAGGA